rnacentral:rRNA from 1 species
UACGUAGGGUGCAAGCGUUAUCCGGAAUUAUUGGGCGUAAAGAGCUCGUAGGCGGUUUGUCGCGUCUGCCGUGAAAGUCCGGGGCUCAACUCCGGAUCUGCGGUGGGUACGGGCAGACUAGAGUGAUGUAGGGGAGACUGGAAUUCCUGGUGUAGCGGUGAAAUGCGCAGAUAUCAGGAGGAACACCGAUGGCGAAGGCAGGUCUCUGGGCAUUAACUGACGCUGAGGAGCGAAAGCAUGGGGGAGCGAACAGG